UACACGACCGUACCGCAAACCGACACUGGUGCGCGAGAUGAGUAUUCUAAGGCGCUUGAGAGAACUCAGGAGAAGGAACUCGGCAAAUUGACACCGUAACUUCGGAAGAAGGUGUGCCUUUAGUAGGUGAACCAUUUACUUGGGGAGCCCAAUGAGGCUGCAAAAAAUCGGUGGCUGCAACUGUUUAUUAAAAACACAGCACUCUGCUAAGACGAAAGUCGACGUAUAGGGUGUGACGCCUGCCCGGUGCUGGAAGAUUAAAUGAUGGGGUGCAAGCUCUUGAUUGAAGUCCCAGUAAACGGCGGCCGUAACAAUAACGGUCCUAAGGUAGCGAAAUUCCUUGUCGGGUAAGUUCCGACCUGCACGAAUGGCGUAAUGAUGGCCACACUGUCUCCUCCUGAGACUCAGCGAAGUUGAAAUGUUUGUGAUGAUGCAAUCUCCCCGCGGAAAGACGGAAAGACCCCAUGAACCUUUACUGUAGCUUUGUAUUGGACUUUGAACAGAUCUGUGUAGGAUAGGUGGGAGGCUUUGAAGUGUGGUCGCUAGAUCGCAUGGAGCCAACGUUGAAAUACCACCCUGUGUGUUUGAGGUUCUAACCUAGGUCCAUUAUCUGGAUCGGGGACAGUGCAUGGUAGGCAGUUUGACUGGGGCGGUCUCCUCCCAAAGUGUAACGGAGGAGUUCGAAGGUACGCUAGGUACGGUCGGACAUCGUGCUAAUAGUGCAAUGGCAUAAGCGUGCUUAACUGCGAGACUGACAAGUCGAGCAGAUGCGAAAGCAGGACAUAGUGAUCCGGUGGUUCUGUAUGGAAGGGCCAUCGCUCAACGGAUAAAAGGUACUCUGGGGAUAACAGGCUGAUACCGCCCAAGAGUUCAUAUCGACGGCGGUGUUUGGCACCUCGAUGUCGGCUCAUCUCAUCCUGGGGCUGUAGCCGGUCCCAAGGGUAUGGCUGUUCGCCAUUUAAAGAGGUACGUGAGCUGGGUUUAAAACGUCGUGAGACAGUUUGGUCCCUAUCUUCCGUGGGCGCUGCAGAUUUGAGGAAGCCUGCUCCUAGUACGAGAGGACCGGAGUGGACGAACCUCUGGUGUAUCGGUUGUCACGCCAGUGGCAUUGCCGAGUAGCUAAGUUCGGAAGAGAUAACCGCUGAAAGCAUCUAAGCGGGAAACUCGUUUCAAGAUUAGAUCUGCCGGGGCCUUGAGCCCCCUAAAGAGUCGUUCAAGACCAGGACGUUGAUAGGUCAGGUGUGGAAGCCA
rnacentral:rRNA from 1 species